rnacentral:rRNA from 1 species
GACGAACGCUGGCGGCGUGCUUAACACAUGCAAGUCGAACGGAAAGGCCCUGCUUUUGUGGGGUGCUCGAGUGGCGAACGGGUGAGUAACACGUGAGUAACCUGCCCUUGACUUUGGGAUAACUUCAGGAAACUGGGGCUAAUACCGGAUAGGAGCUCCUGCUGCAUGGGGGGGGUUGGAAAGUUUCGGCGGUUGGGGAUGGACUCGCGGCUUAUCAGCUUGUUGGUGGGGUAGUGGCUUACCAAGGCUUUGACGGGUAGCCGGCCUGAGAGGGUGACGGGCCACAUUGGGACUGAGAUACGGCCCAGACUCCUACGGGAGGCAGCAGUGGGGAAUAUUGCACAAUGGGCGGAAGCCUGAUGCAGCAACGCCGCGUGCGGGAUGACGGCCUUCGGGUUGUAAACCGCUUUCGCCUGUGACGAAGCGUGAGUGACGGUAAUGGGUAAAGAAGCACCGGCUAACUACGUG